GACGUAGGGCGCGAGCGUUGUCCGGAUUUAUUGGGCGUAAAGAGCUCGUAGGCGGCUUGUUGCGUCGACUGUGAAAACCCGCGGCUUAACUGCGGGCUUGCAGUUGAUACGGGCAGGCUUGAGUGCGGUAGGGGAGACUGGAAUUCCUGGUGUAGCGGUGAAAUGCGCAGAUAUCAGGAGGAACACCGGUGGCGAAGGCGGGUCUCUGGGCCGUAACUGACGCUGAGGAGCGAAAGCGUGGGGAGCGAACAGG
rnacentral:rRNA from 1 species